CAGAACAUGAGCGCUCGCCUCGUCGCCUCGUCCCGCACGCAGCUUCCUCUCCGCCCGCCUCCGGACGCCGGUGUUCCGUUGCUGGCUCCUGCCGCGCGCGCCGGUGAAAGGUCGUCACGCACGCUCCACUCGGAACCAGACAUCAGUCUUUGCUGAUGGUGGCCCACGCUGAAGUGUCCCAGCUGCCUGUGUAGUCCAUAGAGAGUAUUAGUAAGUCCUCUGAACUCACCUGACAAGAAAAAACCAGAGUCCAUAACCAAGGAGAUGAGUCUCUUCUCAGUCGCAGUGAAAAUCCAGAAACCUUCUAGCUACCUGGGCAGGGUUGAAUGUUGCAGUCCUGAUACUCCACCGGGGAUCCUACGCAGGAGCUCGGGUUGGUCCUGCCCUCUGCCGUCGAGCAGCUACGUUUGCGGGUUCGGAAGCCCCUGGAACACUGCUGUGAACAGCUGGACCAUGUUUCCCAGGACCCCCAGCGAGCAUCUUGGGGCUGGGACGGAGUGCGACCACUAAUCUUCACCAAGUCUUCAACCAGAGCUAGGAAAAAUGAAAUGUCUUUGUUUUUAUUAAAAAUCUAAAUGCACAAUUAAAGCACCGUUUGCUUUUCAGUGCCCAGUGUCCCGACAUCUUUAGAAACAACCUGCUGGUGACAAACAGAGGAAAACGUGGCAACAGUUGUGUUUUUGCCAGCCACGCUGCAGAGUGAGAGUACUCACAGUCAGUCUGACAGGCUCCAGACCUGUCACUGGGACAGAAGCGGGUCUCCACCUUCUUCUUGCCCAGCUGGAGCUGCU